rnacentral:rRNA from 1 species
CUUAGUAGCGGCGAGUGAGCGGCAAAAGCUCAAAUUUGAAAUCUGGCUCUUUCAGAGUCCGAGUUGUAAUUUGAAGAAGGUAUCUUUGGGUCUGGCUCUUGUCUAUGUUUCUUGGAACAGAACGUCACAGAGGGUGAGAAUCCCGUGCGAUGAGAUGAUCCAGGCCUAUGUAAAGUUCCUUCGAAGAGUCGAGUUGUUUGGGAAUGCAGCUCUAAGUGGGUGGUAAAUUCCAUCUAAAGCUAAAUAUUGGCGAGAGACCGAUAGCGAACAAGUACAGUGAUGGAAAGAUGAAAAGAACUUUGAAAAGAGAGUGAAAAAGUACGUGAAAUUGUUGAAAGGGAAGGGCUUGAGAUCAGACUUGGUAUUUUGUAUGUUACUUCUUCGGGGGUGGCCUCUACAGUUUAUCGGGCCAGCAUCAGUUUGGGCGGUAGGAGAAUUGCGUUGGAAUGUGGCACGGCUUCGGUUGUGUGUUAUAGCCUUCGUCGAUACUGCCAGCCUAGACUGAGGACUGCGGUUUAUACCUAG